rnacentral:rRNA from 1 species
UACGUAGGGUGCAAGCGUUGUCCGGAUUUAUUGGGCGUAAAGAGCUCGUAGGCGGUUUGUUGCGUCGGCUGUGAAAUCCCGAGGCUCAACCUCGGGUCUGCAGUCGAUACGAGCAAACUAGAGUGUUGCAGGGGAGACUGGAAUUCCUGGUGUAGCGGUGAAAUGCGCAGAUAUCAGGAGGAACACCGGUGGCGAAGGCGGCGAUCUGGGUCGAUACUGACGCUGAGGUGCGAAAAGCGUGGGGGAGCAAAACAGG